rnacentral:rRNA from 1 species
CCUACGGGAGGCAGCAGUGAGGAAUAUUGGUCAAUGGGCGCGAGCCUGAACCAGCCAAGUAGCGUGAAGGAUGACUGCCCUACGGGUUGUAAACUUCUUUUAUAAAGGAAUAAAGUGAGGCACGUGUGCCUUUUUGUAUGUAUUUUAUGAAUAAGGAUCGGCUAACUCCGUGCCAUCAGCCGCGGUAAUACGGAGGAUCCGAGCGUUAUCCUGAUUUAUUGGGUUUAAAGGGAACGUAGAUGGGGUGUUAAGUCAGUUGUGAAAGUUUGGGGCUCAACCGUAAAAGUGCAAUUGAUACUGGCAGACUUGAGUACAGUUGAGGGAGGCGGAAUUCGUGGUGUAGCGGUGAAAUGCUUAGAUAUCACGAAGAACUCCGAUUGCGAAGGCAGCCUACUAAACUGCCACUGACAUUGAUGCGCGAAAGUGUGGGUAUCAAACAGGAUUAGAGACCCGAGUAGUC